GCUUACGGCCAUACCACCCUGAACACGCCGAUCUCGUCCGAUCUCGGAAGCUAAGCAGGGUCGGCCUGGUUAGUACUUGGAUGGGAGACCGCCUGGGAAUACCAGUGCUGUAAGCU
rnacentral:rRNA from 1 species